GGCCACAUCACGUUGAAACACCGAUUCCCGUACGAUCACCGAAGUUAAGCAAUGUCAGGCCUGGUCAGUAGCUAGAUGAGUCAAAGUUUAGGAACAACAGGUGCUGUAAG